AGUGAACGCUGGCGGCAGGCCUAACACAUGCAAGUCGAGCGGCAGCGGGUCCUUCGGGAUGCCGGCGAGCGGCGGACGGGUGAGGGAUACAUCGGAAUCUGCCCUGUCGUGGGGGAUAACCUAGGGAAACAUAGGCUAAUACCGCAUACGACCUACGGGUGAAAGGGGGGGAUCGCAAGACAUCGCGCGACAGGAUGAGCCGAUGUCCGAUUAGAUAGUUGGCGGGGUAAAGGCCCACCAAGGCGACGAUCGGUAGCUGGUCUGAGAGGAUGAUCAGCCACACUGGGACUGAGACACGGCCCAGACUCCUACGGGAGGCAGCAGUGGGGAAUAUUGGACAAUGGGCGCAAGCCUGAUCCAGCCAUGCCGCGUGGGUGAAGAAGGCCUUCGGGUUGUAAAGCCCUUUUGUCCGGGAAGAAAUCGUCUGGGCUAAUACCCCGGGCGGAUGACGGUACCGGAAGAAUAAGCACCGGCUAACUUCGUG
rnacentral:rRNA from 1 species